AAUAUUUUUGGAGUUGGGUUCAGUUUGUCCAGCCUAUAUACUAGUCUUUGAUUAACAUCCGUGAACUGACAGAACGGAAAAAUUGGAAUUUUGUUAACGCCUUAUCGAGCGAAUCGUGGGAUGUGUUUACAAAAAGUUAUAGAAAUAGAUAUGUAGUGAGGACUUACGAAAAUUCAUUAUUACAUAGUCAGGGAAAUUCAUUAACACAUACUUACUGCCUUCCAUGUUUGUGAACCUCCGCUGUUUCGUGCAACUCGCGAUAAAACAGUGAAUUAGUAAAAUCCCAGAUUAUUCGAGAUCCUACUCGCCUUUCUCACAGUAGUAGUAUUAUUCUUAGUAGUGUGAGCUGAGGGCAGUAAUAGCAGUAACUAUGUAAGCAGUGUGACCGGUUUAAGUCACUAAUGUGAGUAGGUUGCUUUAUAAAGUGUGUCAGUUUUCUUUAUGAAAUACUUUCCGAGCGACAUAGCACGUCCUGAAUACACGUAAACAACAUCUAUAUAAUCAACUGUUACAAUCUUUAAUUUUUGUUAAGUAUUUUGAAGUUAGGAUAAUUUUCAGUUAGGAUACUUUUGAGAAUUACAUUCAUUUUAGGCCCAUGUGAAAUUAUUGAACUAUAAUCUCUGUUUUAUGACGGAGUUAUCAGGUAUGGAAGAAAGAAGCGCAUUAUGUUUAUCAUGACCUAAAUUGAGCAUAGAGUUCGAUGCAGUUUACUUUUAGUACGAUCAGUAACGCCGCGUAGUUGCCCAACCUAUGAACAAAUACCAGGCGAAUUUACACGAAACCACAUCGUACAGUGUUGAAACAUUAAAAAGCCAUAUGGUAUGAAGUUUGAGGUGGUGAACGCUUAAAAAAAGGAUAAUCUAUUUAUUGAGAUCUCUUCAACGGCGAUAUAUUUGCGUAAGCUUCAUAUGGUGUUAACCCGGAUUACCUAGAAUUGAAUAAUGAUAGCAAGUAUUUAAUAGCCAAAGAAAAUGUAUGUCUCCAUGAUGCCUCUGAAUGUUCCCUUGAAAAGAACUUUUGAAAAUCGAUGUUCAUGUAUUUUAGGAGUCACAAGCAAACUGACGAUAGUAAGUCCCGUAAUCCAGUGGGCAUUAUGACGUCCCGCAGAGCGCCAUAAUCACAAUGAAAACUCAAUGGCCCGAAUUGGAGAUAUAGCAGGUGCAAACGGAGAAAAUGCAACUUCAAGACGAUUAAUCGAAGUAUCAGUUCCUGUUUGCUUGUCUGUAUUGCGUUUGCAACUAUCCUGAAUUCUGUUAUAUGUUUAGUAGCAGUUGCUAAAAUUUAUUAAAUAUAGUGAGAACUUCAGUCAAUAAGUGGUAUUUUUUAGAAUAAAUGACAUAAUUUCAAGCAUUAAACAAUGAUAUAUUCUGAUCGUGAACUCUAUGGCUGCAGCCUGAUGGCAAGAACCCAUAAAGCAGUAAAACUAUGAGAGUAUAGAGAUAUUCCUGAAAGACUUGUACCAUUCUUUCUCUCCAAUUUUAUCACCCACGAAAGCAAUGGGUGGUGUCGUUUCAUUUUGUUUUUAUUUGAAUCUUUUUUUAUCCUGAUCUCAGGAACUAUCAAACUUUAAAAUCAUUUUAUAAAC